CACCCCGCAUAUCUGAUACAGAAUUAUGCUGAUUUACAUAAACUUUAAGUUCAAUUUUCUCACCGAAUAUCAUUCAUUUAUUUUAAAAUGUUGAAUAAUACAAACGUUCUCAUGGAGACGUUUCAUAAGCCAUUUACAACAUUGGCGUCCAUGUUGUAUUGCGGUAAGUUAUAUCAUGGAUAAUAAAAUAAAUGGAUAGGAAACUAGCUGACGUGACCUAAUGUUUUCAAUGGGCUGAUGACGUGGUUGGAUGUUCAAACCUAGUUGCAAACCAAAUUCUCAAAAAACGGCAUGUUUAGCAAUAGUACAGCAAAACAUUUUAGUCAAAGAGCAAAUAAAUAUAACUACGCCAU